GACGAACGCUGGCGGCGUGCCUAAUACAUGCAAGUAGAACGCUGAAGAGAGGAGCUUGCUCUUCUUGGAUGAGUUGCGAACGGGUGAGUAACGCGUAGGUAACCUGCCUGGUAGCGGGGGAUAACUAUUGGAAACGAUAGCUAAUACCGCAUAAAAUUGAUUAUUGCAUGAUAAUUAAUUGAAAGAUGCAAUUGCAUCACUACCAGAUGGACCUGCGUUGUAUUAGCUAGUUGGUGAGGUAACGGCUCACCAAGGCGACGAUACAUAGCCGACCUGAGAGGGUGAUCGGCCACACUGGGACUGAGACACGGCCCAGACUCCUACGGGAGGCAGCAGUAGGGAAUCUUCGGCAAUGGGGGGAACCCUGACCGAGCAACGCCGCGUGAGUGAAGAAGGUUUUCGGAUCGUAAAGCUCUGUUGUAAGAGAAGAACGGGUGUGAGAGUGGAAAAGUUCACACUGUGACGG
rnacentral:rRNA from 1 species